CUACGGGACGCAGCAGUGGGGAAUAUUGCACAAUGGGCGCAAGCCUGAUGCAGCCAUGCCGCGUGUAUGAAGAAGGCCUUCGGGUUGUAAAGUACUUUCAGCGGGGAGGAAGGGAGUAAAGUUAAUACCUUUGCUCAUUGACGUUACCCGCAGAAGAAGCACCGGCUAAUCCGUGCCAGCAGCCGCGGUAAUACGGAGGGUGCAAGCGUUAAUCGGAAUUACUGGGCGUAAAGCGCACGCAGGCGGUUUGUUAAGUCAGAUGUGAAAUCCCCGGGCUCAACCUGGGAACUGCAUCUGAUACUGGCAAGCUUGAGUCUCGUAGAGGGGGGUAGAAUUCCAGGUGUAGCGGUGAAAUGCGUAGAGAUCUGGAGGAAUACCGGUGGCGAAGGCGACCCCCUGGACGAAGACUGACGCUCAGGUGCGAAAGCGUGGGGAGCAAACAGGAUUAGAUACCCCAGUAGUC
rnacentral:rRNA from 1 species